GACGAACCGUGCGAACGUUGUUCGGAAUCACUGGGCUUAAAGGGCGCGUAGGCGGGCUAGCAAGUCAGGGGUGAAAUCCCACGGCUCAACCGUGGAAGUGCCUUUGAUACUGCGAGUCUUGAGGGAGGUAGGGGCGUGCGGAACUUCCGGUGGAGCGGUGAAAUGCGUAGAUAUCGGAAGGAACACCCGUGGCGAAAGCGGCUCACUGGGUCUUUUCUGACGCUGAUGCACGAAAGCUAGGGGAGCAAACGGG
rnacentral:rRNA from 1 species